GUUGGUCAUGGCGUCACGUGCACAUAGACCUGCAGCUCUCGUUUCCACGACCUGGUGGUCGUUGCCGCGGUCUCGGAUGACGGUGGUUCACCACCUUGCUUCCAGUGCCGAUGAGACAAUCGGGUUGUCACCCUGUAAUCUCAGUGUCGGCUCCCACGACUGCCUCCUCGGCUACCACUACUUAGGAUAUUUUUGGGACCAUUGAGUUUAUAUGAUCUUUUGACUGUCUGGCUCAGUGGGGAGGAUCUGCCCACUUGUGUCAAGAGGUCAUGGGUUCGACGCAGUCCCUCUGCAUUGCACUGUGCAGGGGUAAGGCUUGCUUCGUAUGACUCCAUUGGCGUAGGGCGGCCGGAAUCGGGCGCGACGGCAGCUGUGGGGUGAAGUUUCACUUCGUGUGGUUGGGGUUCCCGUCGCAGCCCUUUUGGUUUUCGGGCAGCUGUUAGUGGUGAUGUAUUUUUGCAUCACCUGUAGCAAUAUUUUGGGCACCAUAUACCUGUAGCGCUGCUGUUGGAGGCGUUUUAUUUGACCCACAAGUGACCUAAAAUGCAUUUUUUUUGGGCACAGCUGCAUUUUUGGGGCCGCUGUUGAGGAUGCUCAUGUAGUUAUCACGCAGUGUUCAGACUGCAUUCUAUGACGGUCACCCUGUAUUGACACCAUUUAUUUUUCUUUGAGCAAUCUGCUAUUGGUGUUAGCAAAGCCGUAUUUGUUUGCAAUCUCGCAAUGGUUUAUAGGUCUCGUUUACUUGAUAGCAAA